rnacentral:rRNA from 1 species
CUCAACCUGGGAACUGCAUCUGAUACUGGCAAGCUUGAGUCUCGUAGAGGGGGGUAGAAUUCCAGGUGUAGCGGUGAAAUGCGUAGAGAUCUGGAGGAAUACCGGUGGCGAAGGCGGCCCCCUGGACGAAAACUGACGCUCAGGUGCGAAAGCGUGGGGAGCAAACAGGAUUAGAUCCCCUGGUAGUCCACGCCGUAAACGAUGUCGACUUGGAGGUUGUGCCCUUGAGGCGUGGCUUCCGGAGCUAACGCGUUAAGUCGACCGCCUGGGGAGUACGGCCGCAAGGUUAAAACUCAAAUGAAUUGACGGGGGCCCGCACAAGCGGUGGAGCAUGUGGUUUAAUUCGAUGCAAC